rnacentral:lncRNA from 1 species
CUACUGAAUGUCUCAAGAGAGGAACUUUUUUCCACUUCACAAAUUCUAAUUUUUGACUUGAAAAAGAAUGAUGAAUAUUUGUCACACAGAUAUUUAAAUGGAAUCAGGGCUGUAUAUAACCAUGACAUAAUACUUUGUCAAAAAGUGAAAAGUUAAUCUGGUUGGUGUCAUCAGUUUCAGAAGGGAGGAUUUUAAAUGGCUUAAAAAUAAUGUAGUCACAUGACUUAAAUUCAAAAG